rnacentral:rRNA from 1 species
GGGAAGGCGUAGGGAAACCGAGUCUUAAUAGGGCGAUUUAGUUGCUGGGCUUAGACCCGAAACCAGGCGAUCUAUCCAUGGCCAGUGUGAAGGUUGAGUAACAUCAACUGGAGGCGCGAACCCACCUAUGUUGAAAAAUGGGGGGAUGAGCUGUGGAUCGGAGUGAAAGGCUAAUCAAGCCCGGAGAUAGCUGGUUCUCCUCGAAAGCUAUUUAGGUAGCGCCUCGUGUAUUACUAUUGGGGGUAGAGCACUGUUAUGGCUAGGGGUCAUGGCGACUUACCAAACCAUUGCAAACUCCGAAUACCGAUGAGUGCGAGCUUGGGAGACAGACGUCGGGUGCUAACGUCCGGCGUCAAGAGGGAAACAACCCAGACCGCCAGCUAAGGUCCCAAAGAUUGGCUAAGUGGAAAACGAAGUGGGAAGGCACAGACAGCCAGGAGGUUGGCUUAGAAGCAGCCACCCUUUAAAGA